UACGUAGGGUGCAAGCGUUGUCCGGAAUUAUUGGGCGUAAAGAGCUCGUAGGCGGCUUGUCACGUCGGCUGUGAAAUCCCGAGGCUCAACCUCGGGUCUGCAGUCGAUACGGGCAGACUAGAGUUCGGUAGGGGAGACUGGAAUUCCUGGUGUAGCGGUGAAAUGCGCAGAUAUCAGGAGGAACACCGGUGGCGAAGGCGGGUCUCUGGGCCGAAACUGACGCUGAGGAGCGAAAGCGUGGGGAGCGAACAGG
rnacentral:rRNA from 1 species